ACGCUCACGUUUCUCUUCAGAUCGUAUAAAUCUUUCGCCUUUUACUAAAGAUUUCCGCGGAAAGGAAUAAUACGAGUUCUUAGUAAUUAUUUGAUGCCCUGCUUAGUGCGGAGCU